GGGUUAGGCGGAUCUCUUGGCUCUUGCCGGAAAUCGUUCCGCCCGGUGAGGUUUCUGUGUGAGACCCGAGGCAGGCGGGCGGGGAAGAGGCGUGACCAGUAUUCGCCAAAUGUAAGAGUGCCAUGCAGUACGUCUUUGUGGCUCUUCAGCUUCUUUUGAAGAGAGAAGACCUACAUUCAGCUAAUAGCCGGAGUCUUUUUGACCAACACCUCAUUCCUGACUCCAGGAUUAAAGGGCAAACCGAGACCUGAAUGGGCUUGGUCAUCUCCCGCAGUUCGCGUGGCGACCGCAGGAGUGGCAGGUACAAAGAUUGCUGUAUCAACUCAUUGAAGCAAUUACCUCACUGUCUUUGUUUUUAAACUGCAUCAACAAUGAAGCAAUGAUACCUGAGAGAAAAUGAACAUUUGCCAACUAACUGAUUACAAUUUCAAGUGAUUGUAUAAGCAGAAACAAGCUGCAACAGAUCUAUGUGUUGACUAGUGUAGAGAGAAUGCUUUUCUCUGAUGCUGUUAAUUUAGAAACGGUUUUAGUAUAGCACAUUUAAAUUAUAUUUAUAUCAAAUGAAAUAAAAAUGAGUGAAGCUCCCAGAUUCUUUGUUGGACCUGAAGAUACAGAAAUAAACCCUGGAAAUUAUCGACACUUCUUCCACCAUGCAGAUGAAGAUGAGGAGGAGGAGGAUGAGUCUCCACCGGAAAGGCAGAUUGUGGUUGGAAUAUGUUCCAUGGCAAAGAAAUCCAAAUCCAAACCAAUGAAGGAAAUUCUUGAACGGAUCUCCUUAUUUAAAUAUAUCACAGUAGUAGUGUUUGAAGAGGAUGUCAUUUUGAAUGAACCAGUGGAAAACUGGCCUUUAUGUGAUUGUCUUAUAUCUUUCCAUUCUAAAGGAUUUCCACUGGACAAAGCAGUUGCCUAUGCAAAACUCAGGAAUCCAUUUGUAAUCAAUGACUUGAAUAUGCAGUAUCUCAUACAAGAUAGGAGAGAAGUAUAUAGUAUUCUUCAAGCUGAAGGUAUUUUACUUCCUCGUUAUGCAAUUUUGAACCGUGAUCCAAAUAAUCCCAAAGAAUGCAAUCUGAUUGAAGGGGAAGAUCAUGUAGAAGUAAAUGGGGAAGUUUUCCAAAAGCCAUUUGUAGAAAAGCCAGUCAGUGCAGAAGAUCACAAUGUUUACAUUUAUUAUCCAACAUCUGCUGGUGGUGGAAGUCAAAGACUUUUUCGAAAGAUUGGCAGUAGAAGUAGUGUUUAUUCUCCAGAAAGCAGUGUACGAAAAACAGGUUCAUAUAUAUAUGAAGAGUUUAUGCCCACAGACGGUACUGAUGUUAAGGUUUAUACAGUGGGUCCAGAUUAUGCCCAUGCUGAAGCUCGAAAAUCUCCUGCACUCGAUGGCAAGGUGGAAAGAGAUAGUGAAGGAAAAGAAGUAAGAUACCCUGUUAUUCUCAAUGCAAGAGAGAAAUUAAUUGCUUGGAAAGUCUGCCUUGCAUUUAAGCAAACAGUUUGUGGCUUUGAUUUGUUACGGGCCAAUGGACAGUCCUAUGUCUGUGAUGUCAAUGGCUUCAGUUUUGUGAAAAAUUCCAUGAAGUAUUAUGAUGAUUGUGCAAAAAUACUUGGGAAUAUUGUAAUGCGAGAGCUUGCUCCACAGUUUCAUAUCCCCUGGUCAAUACCCUUAGAAGCUGAAGAUAUCCCAAUUGUACCAACCACAUCUGGCACUAUGAUGGAACUUAGAUGUGUCAUAGCUGUCAUACGUCAUGGGGAUCGAACACCAAAACAAAAAAUGAAAAUGGAAGUGAGGCAUCAAAAAUUCUUUGAUCUUUUUGAAAAGUGUGAUGGAUAUAAAUCUGGGAAAUUAAAGCUCAAAAAACCAAAACAGUUACAGGAAGUGUUAGAUAUUGCACGACAGCUUCUUAUGGAGCUGGGGCAAAAUAAUGAUUCUGAAAUUGAAGAAAACAAAUCAAAACUUGAACAACUUAAGACCGUCUUAGAGAUGUAUGGCCAUUUUUCUGGAAUAAAUCGUAAAGUCCAAUUAACCUAUCUCCCUCAUGGUUGUCCUAAGACAUCUAGUGAAGAAGAAGAUAGUCGAAGAGAAGAGCCAUCCUUACUUUUGGUUCUAAAAUGGGGAGGAGAACUGACCCCUGCUGGCAGGGUCCAGGCUGAAGAACUUGGAAGAGCUUUCAGGUGUAUGUAUCCUGGAGGUCAAGGAGAUUAUGCAGGAUUUCCUGGUUGUGGUUUACUUAGAUUGCAUAGUACCUACCGACAUGACCUUAAAAUAUAUGCCUCUGAUGAAGGACGAGUCCAGAUGACUGCAGCCGCCUUUGCAAAGGGGCUAUUAGCUCUAGAAGGAGAGCUUACACCCAUUCUUGUUCAGAUGGUAAAAAGUGCAAACAUGAAUGGCCUUUUGGAUAGUGAUAGUGAUUCUUUGAGCAGUUGUCAGCAACGUGUGAAAGCAAGACUUCAUGAAAUACUUCAGAAAGACAGAGAUUUUACUGCUGAGGAUUAUGAAAAGCUUACUCCAUCUGGAAGCAUUUCUCUUAUCAAAUCAAUGCAUUUAAUUAAAAAUCCUGUGAAGACCUGUGACAAAGUGUAUUCCUUGAUACAGAGUUUGACUUCUCAAAUCAGACAUCGUAUGGAAGAUCCCAAAUCAUCAGAUAUUCAGCUUUAUCACAGUGAGACCUUAGAGCUCAUGCUACGUAGAUGGUCCAAGUUGGAGAAAGACUUUAAAACCAAAAAUGGAAGAUACGACAUUAGUAAAAUCCCUGACAUAUAUGACUGUAUAAAAUAUGAUGUCCAGCAUAAUGGUUCCUUGAAAUUAGAAAACACAAUGGAAUUAUAUAGGCUUUCAAAGGCAUUAGCAGAUAUUGUUAUCCCUCAGGAAUAUGGUAUAACUAAAGCUGAAAAACUGGAAAUUGCCAAAGGCUACUGUACUCCUCUAGUUAGAAAAAUUCGCUCAGAUCUUCAGAGGACACAAGAUGAUGACACUGUAAAUAAACUCCAUCCUGUGUAUUCCAGAGGUGUUCUGUCUCCUGAACGUCAUGUCCGUACCAGAUUAUACUUCACCAGUGAAAGUCAUGUACAUUCUUUACUAUCUAUUCUUCGCUACGGUGCCUUAUGUGAUGAAUCAAAGGAUGAGCAGUGGAAACGAGCUAUGGAUUAUUUAAAUGUUGUCAAUGAACUCAACUAUAUGACUCAGAUCGUUAUCAUGCUUUAUGAGGAUCCUAACAAGGAUCUUUCCUCUGAGGAACGCUUUCAUGUUGAAUUACACUUUAGUCCAGGAGCCAAAGGAUGUGAAGAAGACAAAAAUUUACCAUCUGGCUAUGGAUAUAGACCAGCUUCAAGGGAGAAUGAAGGCAGGAGAUCUUUUAAAAUUGAUAGUGAUGACGAACCACAUACUUCUAAAAAAGAUGAGGUUGAUCGAGCUGUGAUAUUGUUUAAACCCAUGGUAUCAGAGCCAAUUCAUAUACACAGGAAGUCUCCACUUCCAAGAUCUAGGAAGAUGGCUACAAAUGAAGAAGAGAGCCCCCUGAGUGUGUCUAGCCCAGAGGGUACUGGUACCUGGCUGCAUUACACCAGUGGUGUGGGUACUGGGCGUCGAAGACGCAGAUCAGGGGAACAAAUCACUUCUUCCCCUGUCUCCCCCAAAUCAUUGGCUUUCACAUCCAGUAUUUUUGGCUCAUGGCAACAGGUUGUAUCUGAAAAUGCAAAUUACUUGCGAACACCAAGAACUCUUGUGGAACAAAAGCAGAACCCUACUGUAGGGUCUCACUGUGCGGGCCUGUUUAGCACCUCGGUGCUCGGGGGUUCUUCAAGCGCACCUAACCUACAGGAUUAUGCUCGUACUCAUCGUAAAAAGCUGACCUCUUCUGGCUGCAUAGAUGACGCCACACGCGGUUCUGCUGUUAAAAGGUUUUCUAUCUCAUUUGCUCGACACCCAACCAAUGUUCAAGGAACAUGGUGAAACAAGUAUCUUCUGACAGUGCUUUACCUUAUUUUCUGGGCCUCUGUGCAGAACACCUACACCUCUAUAGGUGCUGGUCCGUUUCCUCUGUGGAAUUUCUAGGCUCCAGUGGUUUUGAAUUGUAUUCAAUGGUGCCAUCUAUUUGUCCUCUAGAAACUCUUCACAAUGCCCUAUCUUUAAAGCAGGUGGAUGAAUUUCUUGCUUCCAUUGCUUCUCCGUCAAGUGAAGUUCCAUGGAAGACCCCUGAAAUUUCCUCUUCAACUUCACGUCCUAGUCCAGUAAUGAGAAGAAAAGUAUCUUUAAAUACAUAUACACCAGCAAAGAUCCUCCCAACGCCACCAGCUACGGUAAAGAGCACUAAAGCAAGCAGCAAACCAGCUACCAGCGGACCUUCUAGUGUGGUUGUUCCUAAUACCUCAUCUCGGAAAAAGGGUAUGACUAGCAAAACAGAAGUGCAUGAACACAAAAAAAACACUGCGAAAAAGAAAUGAAAUCUUAGCAGAAGCUGGAGCUCCUUAUACUUAUAAAAAUCACCUUUUCGGUCGAAGAAGACAUGUAAUAAACCUUGCCUAAGAAGUGUCAAAGCAAGUGAUUUGUGUUUCCUUAUACAUUGUUGUAGUCACUUAAAAUAUAUUAAAUCUAGAGAAUUCUUUGUAUAUAUUCAGGUAAGGAACUUUGGUAAUGAUCUGGAAAUGUUUAAAGCAAUGUUUCUUAGCAUUUUAUGAGUAGUAGAAAGGUAAAGGUCUGUUGUUGUUAAUGUGAUGUUUACCAUGUGCCUGUGGUAAAGAAGAGGAACAUGAAAACCCAGCUGGCCUGUACCAAUGUCACACAGUACUGCUGUUUACUGAAGAAUCUGUGAGGUAACCUCUGAACACAUCUUCAUUUUUGUAGGACUGUGUCUUGCCUGUAAAAACCUAUUGCUUGGGUGGAAAUUUGAUGGCCAGGAUUACAUAAUUUCCAAAGAGGUUUCAUUGACCAUUUAGAUCAGAAACUUUUCCCCCCAGUGUUACAUGCUGCAAUAUUUAAUAACUGGAGAUUAGCAUAUGGGUUAUUUUUUCAGUCUGUGCUUUGAAUUUUUUUAUUGUGUGUUAUUUAAAGUAUUACAGAUGUAGCUAGGAUAACUAUACCUUUAUGCACAUAAAUUUGUAUAUUAAUUUGUAGAAAAUAUUUUCUUUUUAUAUUUCCUUACCAUAAGGUGCUUUUUUUCAUCAGGAAAAUUUUGCUUCAUAUGUGUUGGCAAGAAAGACAUUCUAGAGUUUCUUUUUAAGAGAUAUAGUUGACAAGUUUAUAAAUGGUACAGUUAUUUUCAGAGUUCUCUUCAGCUCUAAGAAAAUGAGUUCAGAAGUGGAAAUCAUCAAUGUAAGAAGAAUAUCUGAAUUCUAUUAUUAGUAUAUAUUAUGUGUAGCACCUGUUUUUACCAUUUCCAUUCUUACCUCUAGAAUAUCAGCUGAUCUCACUAAGAUUGAGCAUUUAACAUAAACGCUCAUUUCAAAAGAUUAGAUUUUGAAGGGAAAUUGAGAUCAACAUGUUGUGAUUUAAUCUGUGAUGUGAAAAAAUAUUUAUUAUCCUUGGUGCUUAUUUUCCCCUGAUGCACAAAUACUUAUAAACCACUUGAAAUGACCUAAACUGUAAACCAAACAGUACAUCCUGAUAAGAAUUCUAUCUAUUGCCCGUCAUAUUACUUAAAUUGCUAAAGCUUUAGCUUGAGAUUUACAUUUAGAAAAAUUACUGACUUCUCAUAUGAAUGCAGCUAUUAAAAUUCUUCAGAAGAGACCCUCCUAACUUUAAAUCAUUGUAUGUGAACUGGCUUUUAGAAAAUAAGCAUAUUACAUGUUACUUUUAAAAGGUACCAGAUGCAAAAGUCACAAAUAUAUACAAUUAUAUAAGUUCAUAUACUUCACAUGAAUGUAAAUGUAUUAAAUGGAGACAUGUCUUGCAAAUAGUUGAAUGUACCUAAGCUUUCUGUAUGUGAAAAUGUGGUUAAUGUGCUCAUUGUUGGAGUAAAGAACCUACUUUUAUUUUUUAAGUGGUACUGAAUUAAAGUAUUUUAUUUCAAGAAUCA